rnacentral:rRNA from 1 species
CUAUGGUGGCGACCGGCGCACGGGUGCGUAACGCGUAUGCAACCUACCUUUAACAGGGGAUAACACUGAGAAAUUGGUACUAAUUCCCCAUAACAUUCGAGAAGGCAUCUUCUUGGGUUAAAAACUCCGGUGGUUAAAGAUGGGCAUGCGUUGUAUUAGCUAGUUGGUGAGGUAACGGCUCACCAAGGCAACGAUACAUAGGGGGACUGAGAGGUUAACCCCCCACAUUGGUACUGAGACACGGUCCAA